AUUGAACGCUGGCGGCAGGCCUAACACAUGCAAGUCGAGCGAGCGGCGGACGGGUGAGUAAUGUAUGGGGACUGCCCGAUAGAGGGGGAUAACUACUGGAAACGGUAUCUAAUACCGCAUACUAUCGGAUAACCCAUAUGGGAUUAGCUAGUAGGUGAGGUAAUGGCUCACCUAGGCGACGAUCCCUAGCUGGUCUGAGAGGAUGAUCAGCCGCACUGGGACUGAGACACGGCCACGGCUCCUGCGGAGGGCGCAGUGGCGAAUAUGGCACAAUGGGCGCAAGCCUUGUGCAGCCAUGCCGAGUGUAUUGCGAAAGCCCUAGGGUUGUAAAGUACUUUCAGUCGGGAGGCGUUACCGACAGAAGAAGCACCGGCUAACUCCGUGCCAGCCGCCGCGGUAAUUC
rnacentral:rRNA from 1 species